rnacentral:tRNA from 4 species
GGGCCUGUAGCUCAGGUGGUUAGAGCGCUUCUCUGAUAAGGAAGAGGUCCCUGGUUCGAGUCCAGGCAGGCCCA